AUUGAACGCUGGCGGCAGGCCUAACAUAGGCAAGUCGAGCGGUGCGGCUGACGAGGGAGUAAUGCCUAGGAAUCUGCCUGGUCGUGGGGGAUAACCUCCUGAAACGGGCGCUAAUACCGCAUACUAUCAGAUGAGCCUAGUUCGGCUUAGCUAGUGGGUGGGGUAACGGCCUACCAGGGCGACGAUCCGUAACUGGUCUGCAAGGAUGAUCAGUCACACUGGAACUGAGACACGGUCCAGAUUCCUACGGGAGGAAGCAGUGGGGAAUAUUGUACAAUGGGCGAAAGCCUGAGCCAGCCAUGCCGCGUGGGUGAAGAAGGUUUUCGGAUCGUAAAGCACUUUAAGUUGGGAGGCGUGACCAACAGGAUGAGCACCGGCUAACUCCGUGCCAGCAGCCGCGGUAAUAC
rnacentral:rRNA from 1 species